rnacentral:rRNA from 1 species
CAGCCGCGCGGGAAUACGAAGGGUGCAAGCGUUACUCGGAAUUACUGGGCGUAAAGCGCGCGUAGGUGGUUUGGUAAGAUGGAUGUGAAAUCCCCGGGCUCAACCUGGGAACUGCAUCCAUAACUGCCUGACUAGAGUACGGUAGAGGGUGGUGGAAUUUCCUGUGUAGCGGUGAAAUGCGUAGAUAUAGGAAGGAACACCAGUGGCGAAGGCGACCACCUGGACUGAUACUGACACUGAGGUGCGAAAGCGUGGGGAGCAAACAGGAUUAGAUACCCCCGUAGUCCCUGUCUCUUAUACC